rnacentral:rRNA from 1 species
UACGGAAGGCAGCAGUGGGGAAUAUUGCACAAUGGGCGCAAGCCUGAUGCAGCCAUGCCGCGUGUAUGAAGAAGGCCUUCGGGUUGUAAAGUACUUUCAGUCGUGAGGAAGGUGUUAAGGUUAAUAACCUUAGCAAUUGACGUUAGCGACAGAAGAAGCGCCGGCUAACUCCGUGCCAGCAGCCGCGGUAAUACGGAGGGUGCGAGCGUUAAUCGGAAUUACUGGGCGUAAAGGGCACGCAGGCGGUUAAUUAAGUUGGAUGUGAAAUCCCCGGGCUUAACCUGGGAAUGGCAUUCAAGACUGGUUAGCUAGAGUCUUGUAGAGGGGGUAGAAUUCCAUGUGUAGCGGUGAAAUGCGUAGAGAUGUGGAGGAAUACCGGUGGCGAAGGCGGCCCCUGGACAAGACUGACGCUCAUGUGCGAAAGCGUGGGGAGCAAAC